ACGUAGGGAGCGAGCGUUAUCCGGAAUUAUUGGGUGUAAAGGGUGCGUAGACGGGAAGAUAAGUUAGUUGUGAAAUCCCUCGGCUUAACUGAGGAACUGCAACUAAAACUGUUUUUCUUGAGUGCAGGAGAGGUAAGUGGAAUUCCUAGUGUAGCGGUGAAAUGCGUAGAUAUUAGGAGGAACACCAGUGGCGAAGGCGACUUACUGGACUGUAACUGACGUUGAGGCACGAAAGUGUGGGGAGCAAACAG
rnacentral:rRNA from 1 species